UACAUUCACAAUUCAACCUGUGCCUGGUGU
rnacentral:piRNA from 1 species